rnacentral:misc_RNA from 1 species
CUGGGGUCGUUUUUGGCUUUUAGUUGUUUGUUUGGCCUUUGAGCCUAGCAGGCAGUUGAUUGCUGGGGCGGCUUCGGGGAUGUUUAUCGUAAAGGUGCAUGAGUGGUGUUUGGAUUGAUACGGGUGGUCGGCUCCCUGCUUGAGCAGGCACGGCCAUACGUACAUUCCUUUUCAGUUAUCCGGCAGGGCUUGUAUCGCCUUGAUCGUAUAUGUGGGUUUCUUGUGUUGCAUACCUGAUCAAUGGCAUUGUCUUGAUCAAAAUAGUCCCUUUUUCGUCAAGCGUCGCUCUUGUGACGUCAGACGAACCAAGUAGCACCCUCUUUGAUCCUUCUUGUUGACAAGCAUUUGUUGAUGGUUUGGCCCAUUGAGGGAUGUUUGGUCUCUUGGAUAUGGAAGCCAAAAUGGGCAUGGGUUCGUAUGAUCCUUUUACUGCCCUCGUUGAGCGUUCUCGCUUCUCUAAAACGACUGCCUCUCACGUAUGGCACGUCCCAGCGUGUUUGGCUAUGUCGAAGAGGAAUGCUACC